AUGGCCUAUCAUCCCCAAACCAAUGGCCAAACGGAAGUCACCAAUUGGACACUAUCUACUCUCAUACGUGUGUUGAUCAAGAAGAACAUCAAGGAGUGGGAGGGGUGCUUACCCAUCACCGAGUACGCCUACAAUCAUGCAAGACACUCUACUACCGGCAGGUCCCCCUUCAAGGUCGUCUAUGGCUUCAACCCUUUGUCACCCUUGGGCAUCCUCCCUCUACCGCUACAAGAACGAGCGACCAUGGAUGCAAGUGCAAAAGCAAGUUAUCUCAAGAAGGUGCAUGAAGAUACAAGGGCCACGAUCGAGCGUCAAGUACACCACCUCGCCACCAAGCUCAACAUCAACAAGUCUCCAAUGGUGUUCCAACCGGUCGAUCUCGUAUGGCUACAUCUCCACAAGGACCGCUUCCCCAACGAGCGCAAGUCCAAGCUACUACCACGAGCCGAUGGACCCUUCAAGGUGAUAGCACGAUACAAUGACAACGCCUACAAGAUCGACAUCCCACGCAACAAGUACAACAUAAAGCGACAUCUUCAAUGUCAAGGACUUGGCCCCAUACAAUGGUGA
rnacentral:rRNA from 1 species